rnacentral:rRNA from 1 species
GACGAACGCUGGCGGCGUGCUUAACACAUGCAAGUCGAACGGAAAGGCCCUGCUUUUGUGGGGUGCUCGAGUGGCGAACGGGUGAGUAACACGUGAGUAACCUGCCCUUGACUUUGGGAUAACUUCAGGAAACUGGGGCUAAUACCGGAUAGGAGCUCCUGCUGCAUGGUGGGGGUUGGAAAGUUUCGGCGGUUGGGGAUGGACUCGCGGCUUAUCCGCUUGUUUGUGGGGUAGUGGCUUACCAAGGCUUUGAAGGGUAGCCCGCCUGAGAGGGGGACCGGCCACAUUGGGACUGAGAUACGGCCCAGACUCCAACGGGAGGCAGAAGGGGAGAAUAUUGCACAAUGGGCGGAAGCCUGAUGCAGCAGCGCCGCGUGCGUGAUGACGGCCUUCGGGUUGUAAACCACUUUCGCCUGUGACGAAGCGUGAGUGACGGUAAUGGGUAAAGAAGCACCGGCUAACUACGUG